GAUGAACGCUGGCGGCGUGCCUAAUACAUGCAAGUCGAGCGAACGGACGAGAAUCUUGUUGCUUUGAUGUUAGCGGCGGACGGGUGAGUAACACGUGUAUACCCUACCUAUAAUACUGGUAUAACCUCGGGAAACCGGAUCUUAUCCCGUAUAAUAUUUUGAACCGCAUUGGUCAAAAGUAAAAGACGGUCUUUGUGGCAGUUAUAGCUGGAUCCGCGCUGCAUUAGAUGGUUGGUAAGGUCACGGCUUACCAAGGCGACGAUGCAUAACCGACGUGAGAGAGUGAUAGCCCGCACUGGAGCGGAGACACGGUCCAGACUCCUGAGGGAGGCAGCAGUAGGGAAUCGUACGCAAUAGGCGAAAGCAUGACGGAGCAACGGGGCGCGAGUGAUGAAGGUCUUCGGAUCGUAAAACUCUGUUAUUAGGGAAGAACCUAUGUGUAAGUAACUGUGCACAUCUUGACGGUACCUAAUAAGAAAGCAACGGCUAACUACGUG
rnacentral:rRNA from 1 species